rnacentral:tRNA from 2 species
GCGUUGGUGGUCCAAGUCAAGACGCCCCGCUUCCUGCGGGGAAAUGCAGGUGCAAUCCCUGCCCAGCGCUCCA